ACUCUGGGACAAGCCUUGGAAACGAGGUCUAAUACCGGAUAUGACCUGCUCCUGCAUGGGAGUGGGUGGAAAGCUCCGGCGGUGCAGGAUGAUCCCGCGGCCUAUCAGCUUGUUGGUGGGGUAAUGGCCUACCAAGGCGACGACGGGUAGCCGGCCUGAGAGGGCGACCGGCCACACUGGGACUGAGACACGGCCCAGACUCCUACGGGAGGCAGCAGUGGGGAAUAUUGCACAAUGGGCGAAAGCCUGAUGCAGCGACGCCGCGUGAGGGAUGACGGCCUUCGGGUUGUAAACCUCUUUCAGCAGGGAAGAAGCGCAAGUGACGGUACCUGCAGAAGAAGCACCGGCUAACUACGUGCCA
rnacentral:rRNA from 1 species